rnacentral:lncRNA from 1 species
CGCAUGCCAUUUCUCGCACGUUUCUCAUAGUCCACAAACUAUUCCAUGGACUGACGUGUGAUCGGAGGGCAUGGGUUGUUUCUGGUUGAGAUCCAAUAGUCCAGGGGCUUUGUUUGAUUGCUUUAAGGAUUCCUUAACCUAAUCUAACCCAUUUUUAAGCCUUUAAAAGGCUGAUCUCAUGAACAGAAGGGAUGUGGUGGCUUAAUGUAGCGCGGUUGUAGAAAAUCCGAACCCA